rnacentral:rRNA from 1 species
AUACGGAGGGUGCAAGCGUUAUCCGGAAUUAUUGGGUUUAAAGGGUCCGUAGGCAGCUAGAUAAGUCAGUGGUGAAAUUCUCUCGCUCAACGAGAGACCUGCCAUUGAUACUGUCUUGGCUAGAGUUACAGUGAGGUGAGUGGAAUGUGUAGUGUAGCGGUGAAAUGCAUAGAUAUUACACAGAACACCGAUUGCGAAGGCAGCUCACUAACUGUAUACUGACGCUGAUGGACGAAAGCGUGGGGAGCAAACAGGAUUAGAAACCCUAGUAGUCC